UAGAGAAUUUGAUUAACACAAUUUGAGAGAAGAAAGAAAGUGGACCAGCUAAUCAUAAUCCUCUCACUGACUUCAUCAAGUUAGAUCAAACAAGACUAGAUUCAAGCCAAUCCUAGCAUCUAAAUUAGUCAUAUUGAUCAACCUAUGUAGCAUGGGUUAGCACAAAUUAAUGAACAAUCGAAUCGAAAGCUGAUUGAUCACAUUGGCCAG
rnacentral:lncRNA from 1 species